AUGAUAUCUGCUGGCCUCCGCAAAGGGAGAGAAGUAAUCCCAUCCCAGAGAGAGGGCUUCCAACCCACCCACCCUCUGCUGCUGGUUGAUCUGUCGGGCCUCUGCAUCCUCUCUGCUCCUUCCUCCCGUCUCCGUAGGCGCAGGCAAAUCUCGCUCCCUAUCCUACACCUUCGAAGCACAGUCCCAGGCGUGCGCUCUGGCCAGGAUGGGGGCGGUUGCCUCAGGCCGCGCCUCGCGCAGCGGCAACCUUCCUCUUCCCCCCUCUGCGCCCUGCCGACGAGGACGGCGGUUGGCCCCCCAGGACGCGCACAACAGCAAGAUGGGGGCGGAUCGACCAUUGUGUCCUUUAUGCCGUGGAGUCUUUCAGAGAUUCCCACCUGCAGCUUGGAUUUUGUAGACGAGACACGAGAGCAAGUGGAAAUACUCCCCACCUUCGCUGCAUCGUCUUUUCAACUCCGGGCAGCCUCCUAUGCUCAAGCUUUCGAGGGCGGGCAACCGCUCCAGGAGACCAUGCGGGAAUUCCUCCAAAGCUGGACAACCCAUAAUACUCAAUCGCCUAAGAGAAGUGAGGCCACACAUCCCAUCCGGCAGCGCUUUCAGGCCACUGCAGAAAUUCACUUCGAGACUUCUCAGUUUUGCCAGAUUCCCGAGGUUCGAAGGCAGUGCUACCACACUGAGGCAGCCUAA
rnacentral:rRNA from 1 species